AUUGAACGCUGGCGGCAGGCCUUACACAUGCAAGUCGAACGAGUGGCGGACGGGUGAGAAAUGACUGGGCAACUGCCUGAUGGAGGGGGACCACUACUCGAAACGGCAGCAUAUACCGCAUACCAUCGGAUGUGCACAGAUGGGAUUAGCUAGUAGGUGGGGUAAAGGCUCACCUAGGCCACGAACCCUAGGUGGCCUGAUAGGAUGACCGGCAACACUGGAACGGAGACACGGUCCAGACGCCUACGGGAGGCAGCAGUGGGGAAUAGUGCACAAUGGGCGGAGGCCUGAUGCAGCCAGGCCGCGUGAAUGAAGAAGGAAUUCGGGUUGUAAAGUACUUUCAGCAGGAAAGCGUUACCCGCAGAAGAAGCACCGGCUAACUCCGUGCCAGCAGCCGCGGUAAUAC
rnacentral:rRNA from 1 species